rnacentral:rRNA from 1 species
AACGUAGGAGACAAACGUUAUCCGGAGUUACUGGGCGUAAAGGGCGUGCAGGUGGUCAUUUAAGUUCGGCGUGAAGCUCUUGGCUAAACCGGGAGAGGUCGUCGGAGACUGGAUGGCUAGAGGGUGAUAGAGGCGGGUGGAAUUCCGGGUGUAGUGGUGAAAUGCGUAGAGAUCCGGAGGAACACCAGUGGCGAAGGCGACCCGCUGGGUCACACCUGACACUGAGACGCGACAGCAUGGGGAGCGAACAGG